rnacentral:rRNA from 1 species
GACGAACGCUGGCGGCGUGCCUAAUACAUGCGAGUAGAACGCUGAAGGAGGAGCUUACUUCUCUGGAUGAGUUGCGAACGGGUGAGUAACGCGUAGGUAACCUGCCUGGUAGCGGGGGAUAACUAUUGGAAACGAUAGCUAAUACCGCAUAAGAGUAGAUGUUGCAUGACAUUUACUUAAAAGGUGCAAUUGCACCACUACCAGAUGGACCUGCGUUGUAUUAGCUAGUUGGUGGGGUAACGGCUUACCAAGGCGACGAUACAUAGCCGACCGGAGAGUGUGAUAGGCCAAACUGGGACUGAGACACGGCCCAGACUCCUACGGGAGGCAGCAGUAGGGAAGCUUCGGCAAAGGACGGAAGUCUGACCGAGCAACGCCGCGUGAGUGAAGAAGGUGUUCGGAUCGUAAAGCUCUGUUGUAAGAGAAGAACGAGUGUGAGAGUGGAAAGUUCACACUGUGACGGUAUCUUACCAGAAAGGGACGGCUAACUACGUGCCAGCAGCCGCCGUAA